CAGCAGCCGCGGGAAUACGUAGGUGGCAAGCGUUGUCCGGAAUUAUUGGGCGUAAAGCGCGCGCAGGCGGAUCGGUCAGUCUGUCUUAAAAGUUCGGGGCUUAACCCCGUGAUGGGAUGGAAACUGCCAAUCUAGAGUAUCGGAGAGGAAAGUGGAAUUCCUAGUGUAACGGUGAAAUGCGUAGAUAUUAGGAAGAACACCAGUGGCGAAGGCGACUUUCUGGACGAAAACUGACGCUGAGGCGCGAAAGCCAGGGGAGCGAACGGGAUUAGAGACCCCCGUAGUCCCUGUCUCUUAUACA
rnacentral:rRNA from 1 species